CAAUGUUUGAAAACAUCUAAAAAUAAACCUUUUUAUUUUGCCUUGCAACGCUUAAAACGUUCUUUCAUGAGUCUACAAUUUUAUCCUAGUGUCAGAUUCUCGUUCUCCAAAUCCCCAGCUUUAAGCCCAAUCACCAAUGUGAAUUCUUGCAAUCCAAAUUUUGCAAACUUGUCUCCAACUUUAAUCCAUACUUCAUUUUCUUUUGAGGUACUUGUCAACAUCAUAAUCAACUGGUGGACUAAUUGGGAUGCAAGCUGUAUGUUUCUCAAGCUUAACAAAUAUCCAAAGCAAGAAUUUGUGAUUAGGUCCUGAUACUUGUCAUCUAAGCUAUAGAAAACUUCAUCAAUCAAUUUCAUUAUAUACCUAUUACUUAUCUUCACCUUCACUACGUCUUCAACAUCCAUUUUUCCUAUUGUAAAUUGUAAAACAAUAAUUAAGUUAUAUAUCUUAUUUCUCAAAACAAUCAUUUACCAAAUUUAGAUAAAAAUAACUUACAAGCUAUAGG
rnacentral:lncRNA from 1 species